rnacentral:rRNA from 1 species
UGGGGAAUAUUGGGGCAAUGGGGCGAAAGCCUGACCCAGCGACGCCGCGUGAAGGAAGAAGGUCUUCGGAUUGUAAACUUCUUUUAUCAGGGACGAAAACUGACGGUACCUGAUGAAUAAGCCACGGCUAACUACGUGCCAGCAGCCGCGGUAAUACGUAGGUGGCAAGCGUUAUCCGGAUUUACUGGGUGUAAAGGGUGUGUAGGCGGGACGGCAAGUCAGAUGUGAAAACUAUGGGCUCAACUCAUAGCCUGCAUUUGAAACUACUGUUCUUGAGGGUCGGAGAGGUAACUGGAAUUCCUAGUGUAGCGGUGAAAUGCGUAGAUAUUAGGAGGAACACCAGUGGCGAAGGCGGGGUUACUGGACGAUACCUGACGCUGAGACACGAAAGUGUGGGGAGCAAACAGGAUUAGAUACCCUGGUAGUCC